rnacentral:rRNA from 1 species
CAGUAGCCACGGUAAUACGAAGGGGGCUAGCGUUGCUCGGAGUGACUGGGCGUAAAGGGCACGUAGGCGGCGAUCAAAGUCAGGCGUGAAAUUCCUGGGCUCAACCUGGGGGCUGCGUUUGAUACUUGAUUGCUAGAGUGGGGAAGAGGGCCGUGGAAUUCCCAGUGUAGAGGUGAAAUUCGUAGAUAUUGGGAAGAACACCGGUGGCGAAGGCAGCCCCCUGGGAUAAUACUGACGUUCAUGCUCGAAAGCGUGGGUAGCAAACAGGAUUAGAUACCCCCGUAGUCCCUGUCUCUUAUAC